AUUGAACGCUGGCGGCAGGCCUAACACAUGCAAGUCGAACGAGUGGCGGACGGGUGAGUAAUGUCUGGGAAACUGCCUGAUGGAGGGGGAUAACUACUGGAAACGGUAGCUAAUACCGCAUACCAUCAGAUGUGCCCAGGUGGGAGUAGCUAGUUGGUGGGGUAACGGCUCACCAAGGCGACGAUCACUAGCUGGUCUGAGAGGAUGACGAGCAACACGGUAACUGGGAGACGGUCCAGAAUCGGACGGGAGGCAGCAGUGAGGAAUAUUGGACAAGGGGCGCAAGCCUGAUGCAGCCAUGCCGCGUGUAUGAAAAAGGCCUUCGGGUUGUAAAGUACUUUCAGCGGGGAGGCGUUACCCGCAGAAGAAGCACCGGCUAACUCCGUGCCAGCCGCCGCGGUAAUUC
rnacentral:rRNA from 1 species